rnacentral:piRNA from 1 species
UUGCCACUCUUGAAUAACCUUUUUUUGGGCU